rnacentral:rRNA from 1 species
AGUGGACGCUGGCGGUAGGCCUAACACAUGCAAGUCGAACGGCAGCACAGUAAGAGCUUGCUCUUACGGGUGGCGAGUGGCGGACGGGUGGGGAAUACAUCGGAAUCUACUUUUUCGUGGGGGAUAACGUAGGGAAACUUACGCUAAUACCGCAUACGACCUACGGGUGAAAGCAGGGGAUCUUCGGACCUUGCGCGAUUGAAUGAGCCGAUGUCGGAUUAGCUAGUUGGCGGGGUAAAGGCCCACCAAGGCGACGAUCCGUAGCUGGUCUGAGAGGAUGAUCAGCCACACUGGAACUGAGACACGGUCCAGACUCCUACGGGAGGCAGCAGUGGGGAAUAUUGGACAAUGGGCGCAAGCCUGAUCCAGCCAUACCGCGUGGGUGAAGAAGGCCUUCGGGUUGUAAAGCCCUUUUGUUGGGAAAGAAAAGCAGCAGGUUAAUACCCCGCUGUUCUGACGGUACCCAAAGAAUAAGCACCGGCUAACUUCGUG